CCCUAGCCCCGAUUGCAAUGGAAAGCUUUUUGAAAAAGUCGUUUUGGUUUUUCUUGUUUAUAAAAAGCGACCGCAGGAAGCUCUUUUAUAAACUUUAGAAAAACACACGGGUUUGCAAAAACUUGCAAUGAAAAGCGGGAAUUAGC
rnacentral:sRNA from 1 species